rnacentral:rRNA from 1 species
ACCGGCAGCUCAAGUGGUGGCCAUUUUUAUUGGGCCUAAAGCGUUCGUAGCCGGUUUGAUAAGUCUCUGGUGAAAUCCCGCAGCUUAACUGUGGGACUUGCUGGAGAUACUAUUAGACUUGAGGUCGGGAGAGGUUAGGGGUACUCCCAGGGUAGGGGUGAAAUCCUAUAAUCGUGGGAGGACUACCGGUGGCGAAGGGGCCGAACUGGAACGAACCUGACGGUGAGUAACGAAUGCCAGGGGCGCAAACGG